rnacentral:rRNA from 1 species
GACGAACGCUGGCGGCAUGCCUAACACAUGCAAGUCGAGCGAGUUGAUCCCUUCGGGGUGAAGCUAGCGGCGGACGGGUGAGUAACACGUGGGCAACCUGCCUCAUAGAGGGGAAUAGCCUUCCGAAAGGAAGAUUAAUACCGCAUAAGAUUGUAGCUUCGCAUGAAGCAGCAAUUAAAGGAGCAAUCCGCUAUGAGAUGGGCCCGCGGCGCAUUAGCUAGUUGGUGAGGUAACGGCUCACCAAGGCGACGAUGCGUAGCCGACCUGAGAGGGUGAUCGGCCACAUUGGGACUGAGACACGGCCCAGACUCCUACGGGAGGCAGCAGUGGGGAAUAUUGCACAAUGGGGGAAACCCUGAUGCAGCAAUGCCGCGUGAGUGAUGACGGCCUUCGGGUUGUAAAGCUCUGUCUUCGGGGACGAUAAUGACGGUACCCGAGGAGGAAGCCACGGCUAACUACGUGCCAGCCGCCGCAGUAA